CCGUGCUAGACGGGGAGGUAGCGGUGCCCUGAACCUGCAAUCCGCUAUAGCAGGGUCAAUCGCCCUUCCGAGGUUCUGGUCUCUAUCGGCGUUAGGCAGGCAAGUGGUGUUGAAGAUUGGGUCCCAUGCAAUAGGGCGUUGUGAACCUGGUCAGGUCCUGACGGAAGCAGCCAUAAGCAAAUGCCCCUAUGUGCCGUGGGAGCGCCUGGUCGGAGCUAACUACCUGUCUAGCACGGUAGGGGCGGUAUCGAAGAAGGGUGCACGG
rnacentral:SRP_RNA from 1 species